GCCGCGGCGAGCGUGUCGGAUGGCAUUGGUGACCACGUGGCGCGAAGGCGUUCGGGAGUCGUUCGGAAUCAGAAAUAAACUACUUUAGUUUCCUCAGAAUCUGCUAAACGAUCCAUCUACCGCCAUCGACAGUCCAACAGUGUCCAAAUUCGCAACUAUCGAGUCCGUUGACGUAAUCGAGAAGACCUGUCAUCCCUUACCAAGAAAAAUCGUGUGUAAACAAAUAAAAUUCAAAGUGAAGUGAAUGUUACAAAAUAACCGAUAACCAAAACUGUGAAUGUUUUUUAACUCUUCUCGUUGUUCAAUAAAAAUGCCGUUCGUCUGAGAAAGUAAACAACGUGUUUAUUCACCUCAGUCAUUAGCCUCCAACAAUGUAACAUGGAAGAAAUACGUAUACAGAAAAAGUUAUGACUACAAGAAGAUUUAGUGAUACUCUCCGUCGGUACAGACGAGGGUCACACGUUUCCCAGCAACGGAACAAACAGAGAUGGCUGAUGAAGAGAUUAUGAAAUUAAUGACGAAAAUUGAUUCAGAACUCUCUGAUACGGAGGCUGAUGAUACUGAGAAUGAAGAUAAUCUGUGGAUGCCACAAGAUGAUACUAAUGACAAGGAAAGUUCAGCAUCAGAAGAAGAAUCUUCUGGUAUUCCUCAUACACAACAGAGACAACAGUUCCAGAGACACGCAAAACAAUCAGUGACGCUCUUGUAAACUUCAGUGUGAUGCUGAUGUUGGUACCUCAGAAGACUUAGAUGAACUGAUGAAGCCAUUAGGAUAUUUUUCCAUGCAGUUUCGUGGUUUCUUUUUUAAAGGUGUCACAAUUAGCAAAUUGUAAGCCUGUACGUAAAACUGUCAAGCCCUUAAAUAUACUGUGCUGAAAUGCUCACAUGCAUUGUCAUGUAAGAUAACAGCAGGAAGUAAAAAGGGAAACCCAACCCAGAUUGGUUAAUCUUAAGAACUCGUUGCAAAGAAAUAAUCGACUAGUUUUCUAAUUAAUACUGUGCGUCCGGGUGUUCCGUCGAGUUGUUGUUUCAAUUUUAUGCACAGAGGGAACAACUCGGUAGAACUCCCGGAAGCAUAUUAUUAACCAAUCCCGUCGAGAAAACCUGAGAGAUAAAUUCAUUUUCAAUCGACUGAUCGAUAAUUUACUUCUGUUACUACCCUUGAUUGCUUAUUGAGUUACAGAAAAAUCACAUCUUCUGGCUUACUAUUGUUGUGCAUUAUGCUAAGAUACAUUGUUUCAUUGGGAUGCAACCUAAUUCAAAACGUUUCCAGAAGUUUGUGGUCAGGAGUGACAAAUCGUAGCAGUGAUCAAAUAGUUUGAUAAAAGUCCAAUAUUUCUGAAUUUGAAUAAAUUCUGUGUUGAGCUAGUUGAAAACUGCACCCCGUUUACUAAGAAACAAUACUACAUCUAAGUCCCUCGUCUGUUUGUAGUGGAGUCAUACGAUACCAGCAUAUGGGAAGCAAACGUACUAGACAGAGCAAUGGGAGAAUAAGGCAUAAGAAUCCGGUCCUACAGAUGGAUAACUAGCGUGAUUCAUCGCAAUGUGAACUUCACGACUGCAGCUGCGUGGUUAGUAUAGAGAAUACUGUGCUAAAUGGAAUUACGAAGAAAUGUACAAUGCAGAAUAUUGAUUCAGACUUGAUAUUGCAGAAAGUGUAAUAUAAUUUGAACAAAAAAUCUAACUUUAAGAGGGAAACAAGAGAGCAGGAGACACAUGAAGAAGACAGAAAGCAAGAUGUACCCAAUACAACGAAAGGCGUACACCUCCUUGGCCCCCUAGAGUCAGUGAAGACAUGUUAAUAAAACAUGCUUAAUUUUUGUGAAACGAUGUUUCAAAAUGUCGGGCAGAAAUUUGCAGAAGUCUCGCAUAAGUGGAAGACGGGUUAAGAGUUCAUUUGUUUUACUACAGAUUGGAAUAGUCUUUAUUCAUUCCAUAAUAAAUAGUAUUAAUUGUGAACAAAUAGUAUUAACCUAGUUCUCAAAUACAUUUUAUCACUAAUAAAAUCUACACAUUUUUAAUGUUAGACAUAGUAUUUUUAUUUUAGUAUUUCUGAGUUGUUUGCUAACAACUACUGAGUAUUUUAUUACAAUGUAUGUAUUAUAAAUACACCUGGUAGUAGGAACUAAAAAUAAAUAUCCAUUGCAAACUUUUCGUCCAUUAUUUUUUGUAAAACAGCUGCAGACUGUAUGAAAGUAUACAAAUGUCUUCAAGUGUCGGCAUAUUAUACGUGAAACUAAGCGUAAAAAACAUAAAAUAAUUUUUAAAAAUGUUUGAGGAUAAUGUAUUUUUAACACUCUUCAAGAUAAUAUUGUGAUCACUAAGGUACUUGUACUUUAAAUGUGUGCUCUGGAAUGAAUAGGACACAUGUAAAUCUAGUGCUUGUACCUGAAAUAGCAAACCUUUAUAUGAUAAGUAUUGCAUCUAACGCUAAUAUUUUAUGUCAGUUAAUAACUGUAUUAGCAGAAAUAGUCUCUCCAGACAGUAAUAUU